rnacentral:rRNA from 1 species
UGCGUAGGCGGUCUCUUAAGUCAGAUGUGAAAGCCCGGGGCUUAACCCCGGAAGUGCAUUUGAAACUAAGGGACUUGAGUAUGGGAGAGGGAAGUGGAAUUCCUGGUGUAGAGGUGAAAUUCGUAGAUAUCAGGAGGAACACCGGUGGCGAAGGCGACUUCCUGGACCAAUACUGACGCUGAGGCGCGAAGGCGUGGGGAGCAAACA